GACGAACGCUGGCGGCGUGCCUAAUACAUGCAAGUCGAACGAAGCUGUUUUAACUGGUGCUUGCACCGACUUAAACAACUGAGUGGCGAACGGGUGAGUAACACGUGGGUAACCUGCCCCAAAGCGGGGGAUAACAUUUGGAAACAGAUGCUAAUACCGCAUAACCACAGAAACCACAUGGUUUCUGUGUCAAAGAUGGUUUCGGCUAUCACUUUGGGAUGGACCCGCGGCGUAUUAGCUAGUUGGUAAGGUAAUGGCUUACCAAGGCAAUGAUACGUAGCCGAACUGAGAGGUUGAUCGGCCACAUUGGGACUAAGACACGGCCCAAACUCCUACGGGAGGCAGCAGUAGGGAAUCUUCCACAAUGGACGAAAGUCUGAUGGAGCAACGCCGCGUGAGUGAAGAGGGUUUUCGGAUCGUAAAACUCUGUUGUCAGAGAAGAACGUGUGCGAGAGUAACUGUUCGUGCAGUGACGGUAUCUGGCCAGAAAGCCACGGCUAACUACGUGCCAGCCGCCGCCGUAA
rnacentral:rRNA from 1 species